rnacentral:rRNA from 2 species
AAAUUGAAGAGUUUGAUCAUGGCUCAGAUUGAACGCUGGCGGCAGGCCUAACACAUGCAAGUCGAGCGGUAGCACAGAGAGCUUGCUCUCGGGUGACGAGCGGCGGACGGGUGAGUAAUGUCUGGGAAACUGCCUGAUGGAGGGGGAUAACUACUGGAAACGGUAGCUAAUACCGCAUAACGUCGCAAGACCAAAGUGGGGGACCUUCGGGCCUCAUGCCAUCAGAUGUGCCCAGAUGGGAUUAGCUAGUAGGUGGGGUAACGGCUCACCUAGGCGACGAUCCCUAGCUGGUCUGAGAGGAUGACCAGCCACACUGGAACUGAGACACGGUCCAGACUCCUACGGGAGGCAGCAGUGGGGAAUAUUGCACAAUGGGCGCAAGCCUGAUGCAGCCAUGCCGCGUGUGUGAAGAAGGCCUUCGGGUUGUAAAGCACUUUCAGCGGGGAGGAAGGCGUUAAGGUUAAUAACCUUGGCGAUUGACGUUACCCGCAGAAGAAGCACCGGCUAACUCCGUGCCAGCAGCCGCGGUAAUACGGAGGGUGCAAGCGUUAAUCGGAAUUACUGGGCGUAAAGCGCACGCAGGCGGUCUGUCAAGUCGGAUGUGAAAUCCCCGGGCUCAACCUGGGAACUGCAUUCGAAACUGGCAGGCUAGAGUCUUGUAGAGGGGGGUAGAAUUCCAGGUGUAGCGGUGAAAUGCGUAGAGAUCUGGAGGAAUACCGGUGGCGAAGGCGGCCCCUGGACAAAGACUGACGCUCAGGUGCGAAAGCGUGGGGAGCAAACAGGAUUAGAUACCCUGGUAGUCCACGCCGUAAACGAUGUCGAUUUGGAGGUUGUGCCCUUGAGGCGUGGCUUCCGGAGCUAACGCGUUAAAUCGACCGCCUGGGGAGUACGGCCGCAAGGUUAAAACUCAAAUGAAUUGACGGGGGCCCGCACAAGCGGUGGAGCAUGUGGUUUAAUUCGAUGCAACGCGAAGAACCUUACCUGGUCUUGACAUCCACAGAACUUUCCAGAGAUGGAUUGGUGCCUUCGGGAACUGUGAGACAGGUGCUGCAUGGCUGUCGUCAGCUCGUGUUGUGAAAUGUUGGGUUAAGUCCCGCAACGAGCGCAACCCUUAUCCUUUGUUGCCAGCGGUUCGGCCGGGAACUCAAAGGAGACUGCCAGUGAUAAACUGGAGGAAGGUGGGGAUGACGUCAAGUCAUCAUGGCCCUUACGACCAGGGCUACACACGUGCUACAAUGGCAUAUACAAAGAGAAGCGACCUCGCGAGAGCAAGCGGACCUCAUAAAGUAUGUCGUAGUCCGGAUUGGAGUCUGCAACUCGACUCCAUGAAGUCGGAAUCGCUAGUAAUCGUAGAUCAGAAUGCUACGGUGAAUACGUUCCCGGGCCUUGUACACACCGCCCGUCACACCAUGGGAGUGGGUUGCAAAAGAAGUAGGUAGCUUAACCUUCGGGAGGGCGCUUACCACUUUGUGAUUCAUGACUGGGGUGAAGUCGUAACAAGGUAACCGUAGGGGAACCUGCGGUUGGAUCACCUCCUUA